CGCUAGCUACAGGCUUAACACAUGCAAGUCGAGGGGCAGCAUGAAAGGAACUUCGGUUCUUUUUGAUGGCGACCGGCGCACGGGUGCGUAACGCGUAUCGAACCUGCCUCAUACUCGGGGAUAGCCUUGCGAAAGUAAGAUUAAUACCCGGCGGUCUCGGAUGGCCGCAUGACUGUCCGAGUGAGGAUUUAUCGGUAUGAGAUGGCGAUGCGUCCCAUUAGCUUGUUGGUGAGGUAAUGGCUCACCAAGGCAUCGAUGGGUAGGGGUUCUGAGAGGAAGGUCCCCCACAUUGGAACUGAGACACGGUCCAAACUCCUACGGGAGGCAGCAGUGAGGAAUAUUGGUCAAUGGACGAAAGUCUGAACCAGCCAAGUAGCGUGCAGGAAGACGGCCCUCUGGGUUGUAAACUGCUUUUAGUUGGGAAUAAAAAGAGGGACGUGUCCCUUAUUGUAUGUACCAUCAGAAAAAGGACCGGCUAAUUCCGUGCCAGCAGCCGCGGUAAUACGGAAGGUCCAGGCGUUAUCCGGAUUUAUUGGGUUUAAAGGGAGCGCAGGCGGCGGCGUAAGUCAGUUGUGAAAUCGUGCGGCUUAACCGUGCAAUUGCAGUUGAUACUGCGUCGCUUGAGUGCACACAGGGAUGUUGGAAUUCAUGGUGUAGCGGUGAAAUGCUUAGAUAUCAUGAAGAACUCCGAUCGCGAAGGCAUAUGUCCGGAGUGCAACUGACGCUGAGGCUCGAAAGUGUGNGUAUCAAACAGG
rnacentral:rRNA from 1 species